GACGAACGCUGGCGGCGUGCUUAACACAUGCAAGUCGAACGGAAAGGCCCUGCUUUUGUGGGGUGCUCGAGUGGCGAACGGGUGAGUAACACGUGAGUAACCUGCCCUUUACUUUGGGAUAACUUCAGGAAACUGGGGCUAAUACCGGAUAGGAGCUCCUGCUGCAUGGUGGGGGUUGGAAAGUUUCGGCGGUUGGGGAUGGACUCGCGGCUUAUCAGCUUGUUGGUGGGGUAGUGGCUUACCAAGGCUUUGACGGGUAGCCGGCCUGAGAGGGUGACCGGACACAUUGGGACUGAGAUACGGCCCAGACUCCUACGGGAGGGAGCAGUGGGGAAUAUUGCACAAUGGGCGGAAGCCUGAUGCAGCAACGCCGCGUGCGGGAUGACGGCCUUCGGGUUGUAAACCGCUUUCGCCUGUGACGAAGAGUGAGUGACGGUAAUGGGUAAAGAAGCACCGGCUAACUACGUG
rnacentral:rRNA from 1 species